ensembl:miRNA
GGUAAGUGGAAAGAUGGCGGGCGGCAGACCAUGUGUGUUUCUCAGAUCAUAUGUCUGCUGGCCAUCAUCUUAAGAGUCUC